rnacentral:rRNA from 1 species
UACGGGGGGGGGCAAGCGUUGUUCGGAUUUACUGGGCGUAAAGGGCGCGUAGGCGGCCACCGCAAGUCGACUGUGAAAUCUCCGGGCUUAACCCGGAAAGGUCAGCCGAUACUGCGGGGCUAGAGUGCAGAAGGGGCAACUGGAAUUCUCGGUGUAGCGGUGAAAUGCGUAGAUAUCGAGAGGAACACCUGCGGCGAAGGCGGGUUGCUGGGCUGACACUGACGCUGAUGCGCGAAAGCUAGGGGAGCGAACGGG